rnacentral:lncRNA from 10 species
AUUGUGAGCAUCCUGAGCAUACCUAGGAGCGGCGAUGUGGCUAGAGCAGCUGAAAAGAGGAAAGAAUACUUCUCCAACUACAUCUCAACCACCAUUUGCUCUACGCAGAGUAAGGUUAAUGCAAAAGAAACACAAUGAAUUUUUAAAAAGAAAACAACAAGGACAACAAUAAAAAGAAAAACAAGGAAGCCCAAACCUGCAGGUGACAUUUGAAAUUAUGGGAGUUAAGGAG